rnacentral:rRNA from 1 species
CCUGAGAAACCCAAAAGAUCGAAUGGGGAGAUUCAUCGUCAGCGAUCCUAGUACGUGUGCGGUUCGUGAUGUGACGAGACUUUGGUCUCGUCGCACGCGUCCGUAUGGUUUUAUUGCUGGGUGUCGUCGGCGUGCACUUCUCCCCUAGUAGGACGUCGCGACCCGUUGGGUGUCGGUCUACGGCCCGGGUGGGCGCCUGUCAUAUGUCACGCUUUACGGCGUCAUGUGGCAGACCCCCGGUUGUCUGACCGGCUGCUCGGCGGUACUCGCACGGUAUCGGGCCGCAAAUAUUCGAACUGCGUCCGGCCCACCGCAAGCGAGGUCAGUGUUUCCCGGAUGUACGGACCUAGUGCCGUCACCGGGCCUGGCCAGCUGUUGGCUGGUGGUGUCCUAGGACUGGCUCUAAAUUAUGAUACCGGUCGGCGACGCUACUGCUUUGGGUACUUUCAGGA